rnacentral:lncRNA from 1 species
AAGGAAAAGUUAACGUUGACUUUCUGUCAGAAUAUUUUAAAUCUUUGAGGUCAUUGGUGUAAAUCAGAACUUUAUCAAUCUUUAAAAUAUAUAUCCUCGCCGAUUUUGAAAUACAUCAAAUGUGGCUGCGGUGAUGAUUGCUAAAUCAAAAAUACUAUUCCUUAUUCUGGAACGUUAUUUUAAGCUUUGUAAAUAAGUGAAAUAUAAGAAGCAGAUACAUGAACUGCCAUAUACAUGUGUAUAUACGUCUAUAAAAGGAGCCAACCAGUCAAUUGAAGAUGUACUGGAACGUCUAAAAAGUAAAAUUGUUUAUGAUAAUAUAUAUAUGCAUAUUAUUUAUAUUUUCAGUGUUUUUUGAAAAAUACAUGUGAAAUUUUGCUGAUGAAAUCAUAAUUAAUAUAUUGAUGAGGAAGUAAGAAAGAUGUUACACGAACAACAUCAAGAUAUUCAUAAUGUGUAAAAUCAAUUAUAUUAACAAAGAAAAACAGUGUUGUAUAAUUAGCUAAUAUCACCAAGUACUUUAAAUUGCUUUUAUAUUUGAAUCUAUCAAAGUAUUAUAUCAAUAUCGGGAUUAAAUACUUUAUUAAUAAUAAAAAAAUGAAAUUCCAAAGUUUAUGUAAACCACUUGUUUGAAGAAAAAUAUGUAUCUAUUUUAUCAUAUACAUAUACCAAAUCAAUCAUAAGUAAUAUGUUCAAUUAUAAACACAUUUUCAGGAUCUCAAUAUUUCCGACUUCCAGUGUAAACAUUCUGAUUGAAACUAUAAAAAAAGAUGUGGUAUGAUUGUCAAUGAGACAACUCCUCACAAGACACCAAAUGAAACAAAAAUUAACAACUAUAAGUCACCGUAUGGCCUUCAACAAUGAGCAAAGCCCAUACCGCAUAGUCAGCUAUCAAAAGCUCCGAAAUGACAACGUAAAACAAUUCAAACGAGAAAACUAACGGCCUAAUUUAUGUACAAAAAAUUAACGAAAUACAAAUAUGUAACACAUAACCAAACGACAACCACUUAAUUAUAGGCUCCUGACUAGGGACAGGCACAUACAUAUAUAAUGUGGUGGGGUUAAACAUGUUAGCGGGUUCCCAGCCCUCCCCUAGUUAUCAAUUGUAUGUUUGGUUUAUUCAAUUUGACAUUUCAUCUCCUUGGAGUUGAGCGCCCUGGAUGUGUCGGUUUGAGAGUAAAGACGAGUCUGGCUAAUGUGUAUUGUCUUUAUAUAUUUUUGUCCUUUUUUGUUACAUAUUUGUUUGUUUUUGUGGUGAUUAUUAUUGUAACACAAUUUUUACUGCUGUAUCCCUAUUUUUUCAGUUUUGCCUGUUGUGUCUGUUUGUUUUGUUCACACAUUGUGGUCAAAGUGAUUAAAUUGGAUGCGACUGUUAUACAAGCAAAGGUUUAGCUAACUAUAAAACCAGGUUUAAUUCAUUAUUUCUUUUAAUACAAAAUGCCUCUACCAAGUCACGAAUAUAACAUAUGCUAUCCGGUUAUUUGAUGUGUUUGAGCUUUUGAAUUUGUCAUUUGAUUAGAGCCUUUCCGUUGAAUUUCCUCUGAGUUCUUAUUUUUGUUUGAUUUUACUAUUUGCUGAUUAAAUUACAAUAUCCAUAAAUAAUUGAAAAUAGUUUAGUGACAGUUAAAGCUAGUAACACGUUUAACAAUAUUUGCUUAUUCAGUCAAUAUUAAGACAGAAAACCAACAUAUGUCACUAAUCGAUGUUUUAAAUCACACAGACCAUUCACCAAUCCUUUUAUCUAACUUAGUAUUUAAGUAGCAACUGUAUUUCAAAAAUCAUCUUUCUAUCUACGACUACAUUGUAGCUAUUUCACAUUGCGGUAAGUUUUCAAUUAUUCUCGUACACACGAUAUUCUAGUUAUUUGAAUUUGUUCAAUACAAUUUAAAAAAAAAAGGUAAUACAGUGAAAACUGGUUAACCCGAUUCCUGUAUAAACCGAAAACCUGUAUAAACCAAACAUGCUGUUAACACCGUCAUAAAAACUGUUAGCGUUGUGAAUCUGAUAAAACCGAACAUCGGCUAAAACAGAACAAAAUCUUAAAUUACGAAGAGAUUCGGUUUAAACAGGUUUCAAUAUAACAGAGUAUUCCAUCAGAUAAAUUUCAACUCAGCAAAACGUCAAAUGUGUAAGACUAAAAAUACAAACUUUACUAACGAUGAAAAAUAAUAAUUAUGUCUUAUUUAAGAGUAAAUCAACUACGUUAGCCUACAACAUAUGGCUUUGUUGUUUACAGCCUAGUAACAAAUAUAUAUUCUGAAUUAGCUAGUCCAUUGUCAAGCACUUUUCGGGUUCUGUUAUAUUUCCGUUACAGAACAACUUCUCUGAAGUACUAUAUGUUGAUAUUGCACAACAUAUACUUUUCUUAAUAUUAGAUUAUAUAAAAAAAUGAAAUUAAGUUUUAUUUAACAAUAAGGCGUACCAAAUUUGUAAAUUUUCGGAUGUUUUCUUAACCUUAAACUUGACUGAAUAUAAAAUAUUGAAUUUCAAACACGUUUGUGACAAAUACUAUUGUAGUCCUUACAAUAAUGGCAUUCAAAAUAGAAAAUCAAAAAGAACAAAAAUUAAAAACCAACAAAUCAAUACAAUCCCUAACACAAAUAAUUCAAGUUUUUUUUUUAAUUUUUGAUAGUCUGAUUACCCACUUUCAUUUUAACACCUUAAAAUGGAGUUACCGUGGUUUUGAUAAGUAAUGCUCGUUAUUAACAUAUUUUGAAAGCAAAAUCAUAACAAAUUAAAUGCGUACAACACACAUCAUCCAAACUCUUUUAUUGGUAAGUUGGGACUUUAAUUUAAAAACUGUUACAUGUUUUUGGAACUUGCAAUUAGCGAUCAAAAUAUAACAUUUAAUGCAUACAGGCUCACUGCGCUUACUUCUGGUUUACGGUUCCUUCUAAAUGAUUCCACAUUUGUAGACGAAACUCGCGUCUGGCGCAAUUAUAAAAUUUCAAUCCUGUAUGGAUAAUGCGUUUAUUUCUAAAUAACCUGGAAUCUUAAUUAAUAUAGACGAGUUUUCAUUUCAGAGUUAUGAUGAAGUGUUGUUGUUUGAUUGUUUUCAUCUUUUGCACAAUUGAUGUGUCAAAUGGCGGCAGUAAGUAUCCUUUAUGUUUAAAACGCUGUAGUGAAGAUUAAAGAUUAAGCUGCUAGACUCUCUCAUAAUAUAAAAGGUACGAAAGCCAAACGAACAGACAAAGCAAGAACCUUUUUAUAUAAUUUACAGAUAUUCUAUCAUGUUAACACAAUUAUCUACCAUUUGUUUUUAUAGUAUUUCAGGGACAAACACCUUCAUAUUACAACGAUAAUAUGAGUACUUUUUGUUGAGCUACGGAUCUGUACAAAAUUGUUCAACACUACUUUCCUAGGUUGACAUAAGAACAAUAAAAAAAUCUGUAUUUAGGAAGAACUAAUUUUAAACUUUCUACGCAGAGUUACGAGCAUCUCCAGCAAAUUCAGUUAAUAUUAUUCAUGAGAAAUCAUAGCGCAACAAUAAUAUAUACACUUUUUCUUGAAAAAAUACAAAAUUCUUAUUUGUGUCCUAUAUUCAACAUGGUUAAGCAAAUCAUUUUGAGAAAUAAACAAAUACUUUGUAUCUAUAUUCCUAUUGUAUUAUGUUAACGUAUAUAUCAAAGUAAAUCAUGCUAUAUUGUAUCGGAGUACUGUACUAUUCAGUUCUUUCUGGGAUAUGCCACUCUUCCAACGGUACCUGUGGAAAAAAAGGUGUUCCAUGUAAUGAGACUUUCGGGUCUGAAUGGACGUAUAACGGAAAAUGCUGCAAUGAACGACCAUGUUGCAAAUGUAAGUAGACAAAUAAAUCAGGCGAUAGAUUUUGUCACUGUAUAUCAAAUCGAAUGAAAUGUAAAGGAAACUCACAGACAUAGAUUUUUGGGAAAAAAGAAGCCUGGAACAGUUUUUCAUUCCCAUUUCUGAAUAAAAUGGAAGGAAUCACCAGCUUGAGAUGUACCAUGUAUGUGUCCGUGUACCAUCUAUAAACUUACCGAAUACCUUUCAUACAUGAUUGCGUUCGCUUAAACCACACUACCUACUUUGAAGAUUUGAAAUAUUAUCGUAUGUUAGCGUGGUAUACCCAAAGCCAAUUAGCCAAACACGUUUCAAGAUCUCAUGAUAUAACAAUAGAUUGAGUGUAAAACAACCAGAUUCUUUAUCACAAAUGAAUCAACUGGCCUCGUGGUCCUAAUAUUGACUAAAGAUUUAUCAAGUACCAGGAGUAUAUUAAUUUAGUACGCCAGACGCUGCGUUUCGUGUCUACAUAAGGACUCAUCAGUGACGCUCAUAUCAAAAUAUUUAUAAAGCCAAACAAGUACAAAGUUGAGGAGCAUUGAAAAUCCAAAAUUUCCAAAACGUUGUGCCAAUUAUGGCUAAGGUAAUCUAUGCCUGGGAUAAGAAAAUCCUUAGUAUUUCGAAAAAUACAAAGUGUUGUCAACAGGAAAUUUAUAAAAAUGACCACAAUAUUGAUAUUCAUGUCAACACCGAAGUGUUGACUACUGGGCUGGUGAUACCCUCGGAGACGAAACGUCCACCAGCAGUUGCAUCGACCCAGUGGUGUAAAAAGUUAUCAAAGGUACCAGGAUUAAUAAUUUUAGUUACGCCAGACGCGCGGUUUCGUCUACAUCUAAGACUCAUCAGUUGACGUCUCAUAUCAAAAUAUUUUAAAGCCAAACAGUACAAAGUUGAAGAGCAUUGAAAAUCCAAAAUUCCCAAAAGUUGUGCCAAAUACAGCUAAGGUAAUCUAUUCCUGGGAUCAGAAAAUCAUUAUUAUUUUGAAAAAUCAAAUUUUGUAAACAGGAAAUUUAUAAAAGAUGACCCAAUAUUGAUAUUCAUGUCAACACGCGAAGUGUUGGCUACUGGGCUGGUGAUUACCCUCGAGGGAUGAAAACGUCCACCAGCAGUGGCAUCGGCCCAGUGGUGUAAGUAGUUAUACAAAGGUACCAGUAUUUAUAAUUUAGUACGCUAAACAUUGUCAAUAAAACUUCUCGGCGAAAUGUGUUAUAUGAAGGCCGAAAUUCAUCAAUUUGAAACACCUAAAAUAGUAUUAUAAUAAGGAUAAUGUCAUGCUAUUAGCUAAAAGAAAAAUAAAGGUGACACAUGCUCAGAAUAAUUUAAAUCUGUGAGGUCGUUGGUGUAAAUCAGAAUUUAAUCUAUCUAUAAAUACACAUCCUAGCCGAUCUUUAAUUAUACCGCAUAGUCAGUAAUCAAAAGCUCCGGAAUGACAAUGUGAAAACAAUUCAAACGAGAAAACUAACGGCCUAAUUUAUGUACAAAAAAUGAACGAAAUACAAAUAUGUCACACAUAACCAAACGACAACCACUUGCAGGCUCCUGACUAGGGACAGGCACGUACAUAUGUAAUGUGGUGGGGUUGAAUAUGUAUGCGGGAUUCGUUUGUUCUUUAUUGAUAUAUAGUUCAGCUGGCCAUGUCAUUAAUUUUGACCUAAAUUUUGUCAAUAAAACUUCUCGUUGAAAUAUGUUAUAUGAGGGCCGAAUUCCAUCAAUUUGAAACACAACAAAUACGAAUAGAAUAGAAUAAGUUCACGAUAAUGCCUUGCAAUCAGUUAAAGGAAAAGUAAACGUUGACAUUCUGUCAGAAUAUUCUAAAUCUUUGAGGUCAUUUGUGUAAAUCAGAACGUUAUCAAUCUAUAACAAAUACACAUCCUCGCCGAUUUUGAAAUACAUCAAAUGUGGCUACGGUGAUGACUGCUAAAUCAAAAAUACUAUUCCUUAUUCUGGAACGUUACUUUAAGCUUUGUAAAUAAGUGACAUAUAAAAAGCAGAUAAUGUAAUAUGCCAUAUACAUGUAUAUAUACGUCUAUAAA